GCAGGCCGCUAAGGACCCCGUUCACAGCUAGAGCAGAGAAGCAAUCCCCUGAUGAGGGAACUGAAGCCUAAAGAAGUCAAUGAACUUGACCAAGAUCACACAAAUUGGCGGUGUAAUAGAGAUUCAACCAUCCAGCUCCAGAGUCUGCAUUUUUAAACCAAGAUAGCAGUCAGCUGUGUUCAGGCAUCACCUGCACUGUUUACAGCCCUCUGAUGAGUGUGUGUUUGUUUCAAAAAUCCAAGCAACCCAGAAUCCCUGAGCUGGCAGAACACACUUGGUUUUAGGAGUAACACAGUCCACCUCCAAAAACCCUUUGCCUGGAGUCAUCAGAUUUGGGCCAUGCAUUUCUGGCAGGAAUGGUGCUGUAUUCUUCUCAGGACAUCAACAUGAUGCUGGUUUGUCUUGUUACUCAUGUUACUAACCUUCAUUCA
rnacentral:lncRNA from 1 species